CCUACGGGAGGCUGCAGUGAGGAAUAUUGGUCAAUGGGCGGAAGACUGAACCAGCCAUGCCGCGUGCAGGAAGAAGCAUCUAUGGUGUGUAAACUGCUUUUGUACGGGAAGAAACACUCCUACGUGUAGGAGCUUGACGGUACCGUAAGAAUAAGGAUCGGCUAACUCCGUGCCAGCAGCCGCGGUAAUACGGAGGAUCCAAGCGUUAUCCGGAAUCAUUGGGUUUAAAGGGUCCGUAGGCGGUUAAAUAAGUCAGUGGUGAAAUCCGGCAGCUUAACUGUCGAACUGCCAUUGAUACUGUUUAACUUGAAUUACUGUGAAGUAACUAGAAUAUGUAGUGUAGCGGUGAAAUGCUUAGAUAUUACAUGGAAUACCAAUUGCGAAGGCAGGUUACUAAUGGUUUAUUGACGCUGAUGCACGAAAGCGUGGGGAGCGAACAGGAUUAGAUACCCGAGUAGUC
rnacentral:rRNA from 1 species